rnacentral:lncRNA from 1 species
CUUGACACUUGAAUUAGUCUGACAGUCUGCAUCUGAAAGAGCUAUCAGCUAGUUUACGGAGGUUGUUUCCUCAAAUUAUCGUGGUAGAAAGGGCCACAAAGCAACGACUCAACAAAGGAAGAAAUGGCUUUCAAAUGAUUACCUGGAGAGACAGAAUAAGAGAAAGAAAACUUGGUGCUUUGUUUCCCAGGAGAUACCAGACACCAAAGAAUUUCAACUGUGAAAGUGUGGGUGCCCCCUGCUACUUCUAUUUGAUUUUAUUACUAACAGAAAUGCCCAUGGGUGCUGACAAUAAUUGGUAAGUUCACUACUUCAUCUUU